rnacentral:tRNA from 2 species
GCGAGAGUGGCGGAAUAGGCAGACGCGCAAGAUUUAGGAUCUUGUGGGGAACCGUGAGGGUUCGAGUCCCUCCUCUCGCACCA